CCUACGGGUGGCUGCAGUGGGGAAUAUUGGACAAUGGGGGGAACCCUGAUCCAGCCAUGCCGCGUGUGUGAAGAAGGCCCUCGGGUUGUAAAGCACUUUCAGUGAGGAAGAACGCCUGGUGGUUAAUACCCAUCAGGAAAGACAUCACUCACAGAAGAAGCACCGGCUAACUCCGUGCCAGCAGCCGCGGUAAUACGGAGGGUGCGAGCGUUAAUCGGAAUUACUGGGCGUAAAGCGCGCGUAGGUGGCUUGAUAAGCCGGUUGUGAAAGCCCCGGGCUCAACCUGGGAACGGCAUCCGGAACUGUCAAGCUAGAGUGCAGGAGAGGAAGGUAGAAUUCCCGGGGUAGCGGUGAAAUGCGUAGAGAUCGGGAGGAAUACCAGUGGCGAAGGCGGCCUUCUGGACUGACACUGACACUGAGGUGCGAAAGCGUGGGUAGCAAACAGGAUUAGAUACCCUAGUAGUC
rnacentral:rRNA from 1 species